rnacentral:rRNA from 1 species
AAACCAGCACCUCAAGUGGUCAGGAUGAUUAUUGGGCCUAAAGCAUCCGUAGCCUGUUCUAUAAGUUUCCGGUUAAAUCCACUAGCUCAACUAGUGGGCUGCCGAAAAUACUGUAGAACUAGGGAGUGGGAGAGGUAGACGGUAUUCGGUAGGAAGGGGUAAAAUCCUUUGAUCUAUUGAGGACCACCUGUGGCGAAGGCGGUCUACCAGAACACGUUCGACGGUGAGGGAUGAAAGCUGGGGGAGCAAACCGGAUUAGAAACCCGGGUAGUCC